UUUUAUGGAGAGUUUGAUCCUGGCUCAGAGUGAACGCUGGCGGCGUGCCUAAUACAUGCAAGUCGAACGAUGAAGCUUCUAGCUUGCUAGAGUGCUGAUUAGUGGCGCACGGGUGAGUAACGCAUAGGUUAUGUGCCUCUUAGUUUGGGAUAGCCAUUGGAAACGAUGAUUAAUACCAGAUACUCCCUACGGGGGAAAGAUUUAUCGCUAAGAGAUCAGCCUAUGUCCUAUCAGCUUGUUGGUAAGGUAAUGGCUUACCAAGGCUAUGACGGGUAUCCGGCCUGAGAGGGUGAACGGACACACUGGAACUGAGACACGGUCCAGACUCCUACGGGAGGCAGCAGUAGGGAAUAUUGCUCAAUGGGGGAAACCCUGAAGCAGCAACGCCGCGUGGAGGAUGAAGGUUUUAGGAUUGUAAACUCCUUUUGUUAGAGAAGAUAAUGACGGUAUCUAACGAAUAAGCACCGGCUAACUCCGUGCCAGCAGCCGCGGUAAUACGGAGGGUGCAAGCGUUACUCGGAAUCACUGGGCGUAAAGAGCGCGUAGGCGGGAUAGUCAGUCAGGUGUGAAAUCCUAUGGCUUAACCAUAGAACUGCAUUUGAAACUACUAUUCUAGAGUGUGGGAGAGGUAGGUGGAAUUCUUGGUGUAGGGGUAAAAUCCGUAGAGAUCAAGAGGAAUACUCAUUGCGAAGGCGACCUGCUGGAACAUUACUGACGCUGAUUGCGCGAAAGCGUGGGGAGCAAACAGGAUUAGAUACCCUGGUAGUCCACGCCCUAAACGAUGGAUGCUAGUUGUUGGAGGGCUUAGUCUCUCCAGUAAUGCAGCUAACGCAUUAAGCAUCCCGCCUGGGGAGUACGGUCGCAAGAUUAAAACUCAAAGGAAUAGACGGGGACCCGCACAAGCGGUGGAGCAUGUGGUUUAAUUCGAAGAUACACGAAGAACCUUACCUAGGCUUGACAUUGAGAGAAUCCGCUAGAAAUAGUGGAGUGUCUGGCUUGCUAGACCUUGAAAACAGGUGCUGCACGGCUGUCGUCAGCUCGUGUCGUGAGAUGUUGGGUUAAGUCCCGCAACGAGCGCAACCCCCUUUCUUAGUUGCUAACAGGUCAUGCUGAGAACUCUAAGGAUACUGCCUCCGUAAGGAGGAGGAAGGUGGGGACGACGUCAAGUCAUCAUGGCCCUUACGCCUAGGGCUACACACGUGCUACAAUGGGGUGCACAAAGAGAAGCAAUACUGCGAAGUGGAGCCAAUCUUCAAAACACCUCUCAGUUCGGAUUGUAGGCUGCAACUCGCCUGCAUGAAGCUGGAAUCGCUAGUAAUCGCAAAUCAGCCAUGUUGCGGUGAAUACGUUCCCGGGUCUUGUACUCACCGCCCGUCACACCAUGGGAGUUGUGUUUGCCUUAAGUCAGGAUGCUAAAUUGGCUACUGCCCACGGCACACACAGCGACUGGGGUGAAGUCGUAACAAGGUAACCGUAGGUGAACCUGCGGUUGGAUCACCUCCUUUCUAGA
rnacentral:rRNA from 1 species